GCCUAUGAACAAGUCACCUAGAAUGUAAAUGAUCUUGUCAGGUCUCAGAAGCUAAGCAGGCUUGAGCUUGGAUAGUGCUUGGAUGGGCAAGCACCAGGUAUAAAACAGGUGUUAUAGGCU
rnacentral:rRNA from 1 species